UGAUACUGCAAUGGGCAAAGAGACACUUUGUUGGUGGUGUUGCUCUUACAUCAGUCGAGGGCAGAGCAAAAUGACAGUCCUUUGUUCAUCCUAGCUUGCUGCCUGGAUCAGUGGCCAAAAGCUGUUUCAUGCCUAGGGCACAUUA
rnacentral:snoRNA from 1 species